GAUCUCCUAUGAUGUUUUGCACUGGGCUCUGAAUUCAGGUGGUGAUACAUGUGCCUCUGUCCUGACAAGGCAGAGUCUGAGGAGAUU
ensembl:snoRNA small nucleolar RNA SNORD88